rnacentral:rRNA from 1 species
UACGGAGGGGGCUAGCGUUGUUCGGAAUUAUUGGGCGUAAAGAGCUCGUAGGCGGUUCGUCGCGUCGGCUGUGAAAUCCCGAGGCUCAACCUCGGGUCUGCAGUCGAUACGGGCGGACUGGAGUUCGGCAGGGGAGACUGGAAUUCCUGGUGUAGCGGUGAAAUGCGCAGAUAUCAGGAGGAACACCGGUGGCGAAGGCGGGUCUCUGGGCCGAUACUGACGCUGAGGAGCGAAAGCCAGGGGAGCAAACGGG